UUGCUUUGGCAGCACAUACACUAAAACUGGAACAAUAAAGGGAAGAUUAGUAUGGCCCUGUGCAAAGAAACACAGUCCUUCUAACAAGCAAACAAUAAUAAU